GGGGGCUUUGAGUUUUCUAACUCCCAACCCAUGUGAACUUACCUUUUGUUGCCUCGGCAGAAGUUAUAGGUCUUCUUAUAGCUGCUGCCGGUGGACCAUUAAACUCUUGUUAUUUUAUGUAAUCUGAGCGUCUUAUUUUAAUAAGUCAAAACUUUCAACAACGGAUCUCUUGGUUCUGGCAUCGAUGAAGAACGCAGCGAAAUGCGAUAAGUAAUGUGAAUUGCAGAAUUCAGUGAAUCAUCGAAUCUUUGAACGCACAUUGCGCCCAUUAGUAUUCUAGUGGGCAUGCCUGUUCGAGCGUCAUUUCAACCCUUAAGCCUAGCUUAGUGUUGGGAAUCUACUUCUCUUAGGAGUUGUAGUUCCUGAAAUACAACGGCGGAUUUGUAGUAUCCUCUGAGCGUAGUAAUUUUUUUCUCGCUUUUGUUAGGUGCUAUAACUCCCAGCCGCUAAACCCCCAAUUUUUUGUGGUUGACCUCGGAUCAGGUAGGAAUACCCGCUGAACUUAAGCAUAUCAAUAAGCGGAGGAA
rnacentral:rRNA from 1 species